rnacentral:misc_RNA from 1 species
AAUAUUAUGUUCUUGACGUGCAGUCUACGUAGUUCGUAUUCUAAAAUAUUUCUAUAGACCGCAGAAUAAUAUAACACGGCCUUAAAUACGUAUAAUACUGAGUGAAGUCAACUACAAAACAGAAUAGGUACCUACUCGUGUAUAGUAUGCUACCGCACCGUACGUCUGUAAACGAGAUGGAUUCUGUAAAACAAGUCAUGCCACGGAUAAAUGGCCAAAAGCGAGUUCUGAAAUCCAACGGAUGUAAACCUAAAAUAUUUAUAAACAGCUGUCAUACUCGCAGUUCAUUUGAAGUCUUACAAAGUUUACGCAGAGAAGAAGUGUUGUGUGAUAUUAAGUUAGAAACUGAUGACGGUGUAUUAGUUUGUGCACAUAAAUUGGUUUUAGUAGCAGCUUGUCCAUAUUUCCGUGCAAUGUUCUCCAGUUUUGCUGAAGGGGCUAAAUAUGUUGUAAAUAUCAGAGAGUUAGAUUCUAACAUUCUACAACUCUUGAUUGAUUAUAUUUAUACUGGUAAAAUAACGGUGACCGAACAAAACAUAAUGGAUUUGUUACCAUCUGCUGUCCGCUUACAGUUGGAUUAUGUAAAGGAUGUAUGUGUUGAAUUUUUACAAAAACAACUAAAUACUGAAAAUUGUCUUGGUAUCAGAGAAUUGGCUGACUUUUAUAACUGUAUGGAUUUGCUGUCAAGUUCUGAAGAAUACAUAAAAACACAUUUUUUAAAAGUUGUUGAAGCUGAAGAGUUCCUAUCUUUGUCAUCUGAAGAAAUUAUUAAUCUAAUCUCCCGUGCUGACAUUAACAUUCCAUUUGAAGAAAAAAUAUUUGAAUGUGUUAUUAAUUGGGUAAAACAUGAAUUAGAUUGUAGAUAUGACAGUUUGCCUAAAUUAAUGGAACAUGUUCGUUUGUCUUUAGCACCUUCAGACUUUAUAUCAAAAUAUGUAGUUGAUGAACCUCUUAUUAAAAAUAAUCCUAAAUGUAUAGAGUUCGUCAUUGAAGCUUUAAAUUUCCAUAUUGUACAGAUACAUCGGAACAUUACUUUGCCACAAAAAAUUCGUUAUUCACCUAGACAGACUGGACUUAAAUUUCUUCUUGCCAUGGAAUCAGGAAUGGGGAAGUGUUAUACAAGCUGGUAUGAUCCAGCAACCAAACUAUUGUAUAAAACAAUAGAAAUGAGUAUGCAGUUUGGAGGAGGAUGUCAUCUUGCCUUAAUAAAAGAACAUUUAGUUUUUGCCUUGGGUAAUAAAUAUAUUAAUUCAAGGUCAAUUGAAUUGCUUGAUUUAUCUUCACAUCCACUCCAAUGGAAACCAACAGUUAACAUGUUAGUCGAUCGUAAUUUUUUCGGAGUUGGUGUGUUAGAUGAUCGUAUAUAUGCUGUUGGCGGAGCAAUUGGUGUUUCUCCUUUAAGUAGUGUGGAGGUUUUUGACGUAAGUAUUCAAGAAUGGUGAUUGUUAACUAAUAUGCCUACUGAAAGAGUGGGCCCUGGUGUUACAGUACUCAAUAAUCUUUUAUACGUGGUAGGAGGUCACAACUACAUAUCUUCUUUGAAAUCUGUUGAAUGUUAUGAUCCCAGCCUUGACACGUGGACACCGGUCACACAUAUGUCUACAAGUCGCCGAUCCCCUGGUCUUGGAGUCUUAGACGGUGUAAUUUAUGC